ACGUCCUUGAAGUUUCUAGUUUUGUAGAAUUGAUGCUGGAUGUAUUCAUUCUUGGAUCUCUUCCACCACGAAGUUGUCUCCAUCAGUCUAUUAGCAAUUUUGUUGGGGUAAAUUGUGGAGGUCCCGUUCUGAGACCCAGAGUGCUACUCCUCAGGUCUGUGAAUUAAAAGUCUCCUUGAUCAUUACGGUCUUGCAAGAGUUCUUUAUUUUACUGAGUUUUUGAAAGGGAGAUGAGCCAAAUACACACCAGCCCAAUGACAAUGACUUUCGGCCACUGUUUGGAUCUAAAAUGUCCCAGAAAGACCAAUGUGUGGGAAGACUUGAUCCCCAAACCCCGCCACUGCUGGAACACACUGGAAGCUUUAAGAAGUGGGGUCCGGUGGAAGGAAGUGACCUCACUGGGUGCGUGCCUUCCUCGCUCUGCUUCUCCACCCGCCGUGGGAGCCGUUUUCCUCAGCCCAGCUCUGUUGAUGCUCAUUCUGGGCCCGGUCCCAAAGUAAGCUGCUCACAACGGUGGACUAGACCGGUCAGCUUUCUCCCUUGCCCCAGAACACACUUCGUUUUUUCUUAGAGGAAGAGGCUUCUAGCGCUCCCGCGUUCUGCUUUCCCAUUGCUGAAGUGACUCCCCGGAGAGCAGAGGUCUGUGGACCGCCCAACAUGUAAAGGAAAGUGCCCCUGGUAUGGACAUGCCAGAGUCUGGCUGUGCUUCCGGUUCCUCGGGAUUGGGCUUGGCCUCUGUCCUCGGGACUAUUGUAACCCUCAUCAACUGAAUCUUUCUGAACUCAUCAGCAAGCCAGGGGUUGGAGGAGGCCCUCUGAGCAGCGCUGGGGGAAUCACCCAGGGUCCUCUUUUUUUGUGGCGCUCUGGGAAGAAAGCCCCACUAGGAGCUUAGUAGCCACAGAGCAGAGUAAAGGUGGGGCUGUCUGCGCCUCUGUCAGUUGCCACUCAGAGGCGGUUCCCUGUGCAUUCUGCAGGGGCGAAACCAUCAGGUCUGGGAGCGAAGGCUGCAGGCUCCAUAUUGAGGUAGUACUUGAAGCCCACAGCCAACCCUUUCUGUCUUGAUUUGUGAAGCAGUAUCACCCUCCUGCCUUCAUCAUGUCCAGCUGGGACCUGCGAGGAACUCUGAGCCUUGAGGCCUGGGAGCUUGCCCUCUCGUCCUGGUCUCUGCUCAACCCUGGUCAAGGCUCUGCCUGGAGUUCCCACUGCUGUUGCUCCUUAAAUGAACUCUCUGGGAGUUGGGGAUGGGGAGGGAAAGCUCGUGUCAACAUUCCAAGUCUAAAUUUGAAGACAGCCGGUUUCCCCCGGGCACAGGGGACCCUGGGGGCAAAAUCUGUACGUUGAUCUCCUAACCCCCAAAUUCUAGAAUGUAGGAAGAGAUGAGCCCUUUAGGAGUGGUUCAAAAUGAAGCCGUCAGGCUGGGUCCUAAUCCAAUUUUACUGGUGUCAUAAGGUGACUAAGCCCCUCAGAGGGUUGGGGGGGGGGCACCUAGUGGGGGAACUCCCACGAGGAACGGGCCACCUGUAGGCCCAGGAGGCGGGGUCAUACAGGACCUUUUCAUAGCUGACUAAGGCUUUGCCUUCACCAUGCAACCACUUAGGAAUUCAAUGGAGCUUUAGGAGUGACUCUAUUGUAAAGGCCAGUUUGCUUAGGUCUUUUGCAUAUUAUGCUCUAUACCGCCUAGGGAUUCUGCUAGCAAGGCCAUUGCCUUGACCUUGUAUCAGAGCCAUGAGCUAAAACAAUACAACUUACCCAAGCUGUGGUAUUGUGUUAUUAGCAACCGAAAAUGCACUCAGACAAGUGUUCACAUUCGUAUUCCAGGAUCGUAUCUGGAUACCAGGGGCUCAGAAAAUGCCUUUCUCAUACUUCUCUGUAAAAAUAAAAGACUGGAGAAAGUGGCUAACUGUGGAGUGUGUAGAAGACAGACUGGAGAGAGCUGGGGCAUGACCUUGGGCAGCUGCCCAUCCCUGAAACUAAGACACAGGUCUGGACCACGUGGUGUUGCUG
rnacentral:lncRNA from 1 species